GUUAGCGGCCAUACCGGAGGGGAAACACCCGAUCCCUUUUCGAACUCGGAAGUUAAGACCUCCAGGGUUUUGGUUUGUUGUGCGUUUUCGCGUGCAACGGCCUUUCGCUGCUAACA
rnacentral:rRNA from 1 species